AACGAACGCUGGCGGCAUGCCUAACACAUGCAAGUCGAACGAGACCAUCGGGUCUAUUGGCGCAUGGGUGCGUAACGCGUGGGAACCUGCCCAUAGGUUCGGAAUAACUCCACGAAAGGGGUGCUAAUACCGGAUCAGUUCUUCGGACCGAAGAUUUAUCGCCUUUGGAUGGGCCCGCGUUGGAUUCGCUAGUUGGUAGGGUAAAAGCCUACCAAGGGGACGAUACAUAGCUGGUCAGAGAGAAUGAUCAGCCACACCGGGACUGAGACGCGGCCCAGACUCUUACGGGAGGGGGCAAAGGGGGAUAUAGGACAGCGGCCGGAAGCCUGAACGAGCUAUGCUGGGAAAGUGAUGAAGGCCUGGGGGAUGGAAAGCUCUUUUACCCGGGAUGAUAAUGACAGUACCGGGAGAAUAAGCACCGGCUAACUCCGUG
rnacentral:rRNA from 1 species